UUUUUUGUUCCGUUCCUUCAUCAUUUAAAUAUUCUUCCUUUGUUAUUAUUUUUAUAUCUUCUUCAGUCAUUUGAUUCAUCUAUUUCGCUAUCUAUUUCAUUAUCUGUUUCGUUUUCUGAAAUUUCAUAUAUACUAUCUUCACUUUCUAAUUCAUAAUCUAUAUAAUCUAUCUGCAUGUAUUCGGUAUUUUCUAUUUUUAUUUCUGAUAUUUGUUUAUUUUUUGGAUUUUUAGGUAAUUUACAAUCUCUAGCUAAAUGUCCUAACUUUCCACAAUUAUAACAAGUACAUUCUUUUAUAGAUUUCUUUUUUCUAUAUGGUCUUUUAUGUUUAUAAUUUUUUACAUAGUAUCUUUUUCUUGGUUUUUUAUAUUUAUAUUUUGAUUUUUUAUAUUUCUUAUAUUUCUUAUGUCUUUUUCUUUUCUUAUAAUAUCUUUCUUCGCAUCCAAAUUGGGGUGCUAUUUUAUUUUUGCAACAAGCUAAAUUUCUUAUUAAUGUUUUUUCCAUUUUUAAUUCUUCUCUAUAUUUUUCACAUAAGUUUCUAUACCAUUGUUGUAAAUAUUUUAUUCUUGCUCCUAACGUAUCUACUAUUUUUGCUUCUUCCCAACUUUUUAUUAUUUUCGAACUAAAUGGCUCGGGUAAUUUAUUAAAAUAUAAUUUUCUUAUUUCUUUACUUUCUUCUAUACUAUAUGCUCCUUUGUAAUAAUAUUCUUUAAAUGCGCAAGUAUAUUCAUCUAUAUAACACAUAUUACAUAUUGCUAAUUUUAACAUUAAAUUUCUAUUUGUAUCUUUUUCUUCAUUUUGUUCUUCUUCGAUUGUUGUCGUACUACCAAAUUCAUCUUUUAUAGCUGUUUCAUAUUUUUUUAAUAAUUCUAUAGGUGUUAGUUUAGUUGUUGUCGAUGAUGUUCCUUCUAUAGGUUUAUUAGUUCUUAAUACUUUUUUGCUAUUUUCGGUUAGAUUUGCAAACCAUAGUUUUACUGAUCCUAUUAGUGUUUUUUCUAUAUAUUCCGGUGCAUCUGUUAUAUUUAUAUUAUUAUCUAAUAAUUGUUUUGUCAUAUAUCCUAUCCAUAAUUGUAUUGUUUUUUCUGUAUCUAUUACACAGUCUAGAUCUAAAAAGUUAUAAUUUUUAUUCACUAUUUGUUUUGGUAUCCAUUUAUCAUAUUCAUUAUAUUUUUUAAACUUAUUCUUAUGGUAUAUAGGUUUUCUUAUUUCUGUUGUUUUAGGUAUUAUAUUUUCAUUUUCUUUUUUAUCAAGAGUAUUUAUUUCUGUGUGGGUAUUUUCUAAGUUUUCCUCAUUAAUUUUUUGUUCUUCAUUGAUUUCUAAAUUUUUUGUAUUUGUUAAUAUUUCUGUGUAUGUUUCACUAUCUUCGGACUCAUAAUUAUCUGUCUCUUCAAUAUCUAUAUUAUUUAUUUCUAAUUCUUCAUUUUUUAUUUCUAAUUUUUCCUUAAAUUGAUUUAUCUCAUUUAGUAAUUUCUGUUCUCUAUCUUUUUCUUCUUUUUCUUUUUGUCUUUGUUCAUACAGUUCUUUUAACAUUUGUAAUUCUUUUUCUAAUUCAGCAAUUCUACUAUUUUUGGUUUCUUCUAUUUUUCGUAUUUCUUCCGUAGUUUGUUGUUUUAUUUUUUCUAUUUCUUUUUUCCUAUCUAUCUCUUCAUUUUCUUUUUCUAUUCUUACCAUUGCUGUUAAUUUAUCUUCUAAUUUUAAUUCUUCUUUUUCUAACAUUAGAUAUAAAUGUUCACCUAUUUUCUUAUAUCUUCGUCCUAGAUUAGAAAAUACUAUUUUUAUUUUUGAUCCUUCGUAGUUUUCAUAUAUUUUUUCAUCUAUUAUAAAUUCUUCUUUAUUCAUUUUAUUGUGAAUAGGUCAUGUUGAUAUACAUAUUCUAAACUAUCUAUUUGUGAUUCUAAUUUUGAUAUUUCAUCUCUUUGUGUAUCUAUUGAAUUUUUACUAACUCCUGCAAAUAUAUUAUAAUUUAGUCUUUCUAUUCUUAUUUUUAAUUCUUUACGUUUUUCAGAGAUAAUUUGUUUUAAUUCUUUAUAUUGUUCUACUUUAUUCAUUUUAAAUUAUGUUUAUAAUAUCUCGGUGGAUAUCUAAAUCUAAUUUUAUUAUAAUUAAGUGGUAUAUGUUUCAUUCUUCUAGAUUUUAAAUGUGUUAUUAAUUUUGAUUCAAUACUAGAUAUUAAUGUAAUUAAAUAGGCUAGUUUUUGUGGAUUUUCUUUUGUUUUAUUUAGACUUAUAUAUUCUGAAUAAUUACUAAUUAAAGAUUCUUUAAUUUUUCUAAAAGCUGCUCUAUUUUUAAAUGGUCUUCGCAUAAUUAAUUUAUUAUAAAUCUAACUCUAAUUCUAACUCUAAUAUAUAUCUCUUCCGUACUUUUUAAACUACUGAGCUCUGAUACCAUUUGUGAGGGGGGUGCGCGGAUUAAUAGGUAUAAUAGAUUCACUACUUCAUAUAUACUAUCUUCACUUUCUAAUUCAUAAUCUAUAUAAUCUAUCUGCAUGUAUUCGGUAUUUUCUAUUUUUAUUUCUGAUAUUUGUUUAUUUUUUGAAUUUUUAGGUAAUUUACAAUCUUUAGCUAAAUGUCCUAACUUUCCACAAUUAUAACAAGUACAUUCUUUUAUAGAUUUCUUCUUUCUAUAUGGUCUUUUAUGUUUAUAAUUUUUUACAUAAUAUCUUUUUCUUGGUUUCUUAUAUUUAUAUUUUGAUUUUUUAUAUUUCUUAUAUUUCUUAUGUCUUU
rnacentral:lncRNA from 1 species